rnacentral:rRNA from 1 species
CCUACGGGAGGCAGCAGUAGGGAAUCUUCCACAAUGGGCGAAAGCCUGAUGGAGCAACGCCGCGUGGGUGAAGAAGGUCUUCGGAUCGUAAAACUCUGUUGUUAGAGAAGAAAGUGCGUGAGAGUAACUGUUCACGUUUCGACGGUAUCUAACCAGCAAGCCACGGCUAACUACGUGCCAGCAGCCGCGGUAAUACGUAGGUGGCAAGCGUUAUCCGGAUUUAUUGGGCGUAAAGGGAACGCAGGCGGUCUUGUAAGUCUGAUGUGAAAGCCUUCGGCUUAACCGGGGUAGUGCAUUGGAAACUGGGGGACUUGAGUGCAGAAGAGGAGAGUGGAACUCCAUGUGUAGCGGUGAAAUGCGUAGAUAUAUGGAGGAACACCAGUGGCGAAAGCGGCUCUCUGGUCUGUAACUGACGCUGAGGUUCGAAAGCGUGGGUAGCAAACAGGAUUAGAUACCCUUGUAGUC